CUUAUAUCCCUGGGGUAAAUCCUACUUGAUCGUGGUGAACAAUCUUUUUCUUGUGCUGUGGGAUUCAGUUUGCUAGUAUUUGUUGAGGAUUUUUGCAUCUGUGCUCAUCAGGGAUAUUGACCUACAGUUUUGUUGUGUCCUUGUCUAGUUGUGUCCUUGUCUAGUAUAGUAUCAGGGUAAUGCUGGCCUUGUAGAAUGGAUUUGGAAGAAUUCUCUCUUCUUCAAUGUUUUGAGAUAAUUUAGGAAUAAUUAACAAUAGUGUUUUAAAUGUUUGAUAAGACUCAGUAUUGAAGCCGUCUGGUUUUAGUCUUUUCUUUGAUGAGAGUCUUUUCGUUAUGUGUUCAAUCUCAUUAUUAGUCUGCCCAUGAUAGUAUUUCUUCCUAAUUCAAUCUUCGGAAGGUGAAUGUGUGAAGGAAUUUUUCCAUUUCUUCUGUAUUAUCAGAUUUGUUGGCAUAUAGGUGUUCAUACCAACUUCUUAAAUAUUUUGCUCUGGAUAUGGUGUACAGUCACUUCACUUCCCGGAAUUCAGCUCUAGAAGAGCUCUAGAAGGCAGACAUUGACCAUUCUCCGCCAUAACACAUUGCUUUAGAGUCGGAUACAAGUCAGUGAAGUUGGGUGGGCUAUGAAUACAUCCCAGGGUGGUGCAUGCCACAGACACAGGCGUUUGUUAUUUAUGGAUUUUUCUCCUACUCUUUCCUACUAUAGCUUCAGAUAGUUAUUAAUUUUUGUGUCCAUAUAUUUUUAUUUAUAACCUAAUCUGUAAAAUUCCUAAAUUGACAUCAUGUUUGCCAUUUGGGGAUGGGAUUAGGGAGAGGUCAAUCUUUUUUUUUUUACUGGACUUAUUACAGGGCUUUGCCAAAAAUUGUUGAUUGAUAAUUUUAUGAUGGUUCUUCCUGGGCUGUGUAACUUCUUAUUUUACUUUUUUAAAUGUUUCUACUAAGAACUAAGCAGAAUCUGAAAGAGAGUUUUGGUUCAAUGCAGGGGCAGGGAUAUUUGUGAAUGAGCGUGUUUGAGCACAGGGGCAGUUUUCUGAAGACCGAAAGAGGGGCCUCUCCCUUGGCGGUUUCCUCCAAAUCCUAUUAGCAUUUGCAAUGUUUGCUGGGGGCCGGGAGCCAAGUGCUUACCUGUAUUAGCUCACAGAGUCCUUUCAGCAACACUGGUGAUCUUCCUUCUCUAGAAGAGGGCCUCGAGGCCACAGAGGUCAGGAGGAUCCGAGACCAGGCAGUGGGCGGAAGCGUGGAGCCACAGCCAGCUGUGUAUGCCCUCUGGCCUCACCAUGAGGUUUCCGAAGGGUGAUGUGCUUCAUUCCCGACUCUCUCAUGGGUGUUCGAGAUAUAGAUGUGAGUCAUAGUCUGGGUCCCCGAGAGCCUCACGGUUUGGUAGGGGCUAUAGUGGUGGUAAGAUAGAUUUUGAAAGUGUGUAUAGUUGACUCUCAUUAUUAACCAUUAUUAGUUUUGUCUUAACAAAGCUUCUGUGAACAUUGAAUCAGCCACAAAAUCAUUGACCCAGAAGAAAUACAGGGUUCUGUUCCUGGAUGCUCUGGCCACAACAUUUUUGUCAACCUAUCUAUCCAUCCAUAAUCUUGUUUCAUGUGUCUGUCAAUAUUUUUUUCCUUCUUCUUCCAGGGAUUGAACCCAGGGCCGUCUACAUGCUAGGCAAAUGCUGUACCACUGAGAUACAGAUCCCAGCUCUUUAUAUUGUUUCUGGAGGCAGGAUCUCACGGAGUUGACCUUGAACUUGUGAUUCUCCUGCCUCAGCCUCCCAGGUCUCUGGGAUUACAGGCGUGUACCACUGCGCCCAGCUCUAUGUGUCUGUGUAAAGGCACCUUCUUCAGUAUAUACUGUUGAGUCAUUAACAUCCAACUUAUGGCCAAAAGUAGAGGAAUUCAUGCCUGAACGAAGCUUCUCCAGUGUGUGUUUUCUUUCUAAGGCAUAUCGCAGCCACUCGGCUUAGCAUUUCUGUAUGACACUUGGGAACCAUCAAAAGGCACAAUAAUGGAAGAAAAAGAGGUGACACUAAAUCGACCAUGGGGACUUUGAAAAGAGUAUGACCUGAAACUGGAAAUAGAGUAUCGCUUUUCGUUUGGCCUUGGCUGGGGAUAUGUAUGUCUGGAGACUCAUAAUUUGCGCUGCUCUGCAAAUGAAGAGGAAUGACCGUGAAAACACCAAGAAUUUUGAUUUGGAGAUUACAAAUAAAUCUUAACUAGUAAGCAAGUUUGCAAAUAUAGAAUCCACAAAUAAGGAGAAUUGACUGUACCUUACAAUCAACUGAACUAGAACACUGUCCCAGGAGAGGCAAAUCUGCAGAAGGAUUCAUGCAGAGGUUUCUAGAGCAGGCGAUGCCUUCAACCAGGGUUUGAUUGACUUUCUCUGACAAGGGCCAGAGCGAGAAUAUUUUAGGCUUUGCCAGCCACACAGUCUCUGUGGCAGCUAUUUAACUCUGCUUUUGUAGCACAAAAGUAGCCAUGGAUGAUGCAGAACAAAUGGGCAUGGCUCUGUGCCAAUAAAACUUUAUGUUUGC
rnacentral:lncRNA from 1 species